rnacentral:rRNA from 1 species
ACUCCUACGGGAGGCAGCAGUGGGGAAUAUUGGACAAUGGGCGCAAGCCUGAUCCAGCAAUGCCGCGUGAGUGAAGAAGGUCUUCGGAUUGUAAAGCUCUUUCGACGGGGACGAUGAUGACGGUACCCGUAGAAAAAGCACCGGCUAACUCUGUGCCAGCAGCCGCGGUAAUACAGAGAGUGCAAACGUUGUUCGGAAUUACUGGGCUUAAAGCGCACGUAGGCGGCGCCGCAAGUGUGGGGUGAAAGCCCACGGCUUACCCGUGGAAUUGCCUGGCAGACUGCGGGCUAGAGUUCGGUAGGGGAGACUGGAAUUCCUGGUGUAGCGGUGAAAUGCGCAGAUAUCAGGAGGAACACCGGUGGCGAAGGCGGCUACCUGGACAGGUACUGACGCUGAUGCGCGAAAGCUAGGGGAGCAAACAGGAUUAGAUACCCUGGUAGUCCUAGCUGUAAACGAUGGGCACUUGGUGUUGCGGGUAUCGACCCCUGCAGUGCCGAAGCUAACGCAUUAAGUGCCCCGCCUGGGGAGUACGGUCGCAAGGCUGAAACUUAAAGGAAUUGACG